GCCGCAGCCCCUCGGGCGGGCGCGCGCAGGAACAUGGCCGGGCAGGGCGGGAGCGGCGCUGGAGGCCGCGGCGUUGUGAUUUCAGACAAUUGGCCUGGAUACAGUCUGGAUUUGUUCACUUACCCUCAGCACUACUAUGGUGACCUGGAAUACGUGCUCAUUCCUCAUGGCAUUAUUGUUGACAGGACAGAACGAUUGGCAAAAGAUAUUAUGCAAGACAUCGGAGACAAUGAUAUUGUGGUUCUCUGUGUCCUCAAAGGUGGCUACAAGUUCUGUGCUGAUCUUGUGGAGCACAUUAAAAAUCUUAGCAGAAAUUCAGAAAGGUUCAUCUCCAUGAAAGUCGAUUUUGUUAGACUGAAAAGUUACCACAAUGAUCAGUCUAUGCAAGAUAUGCAGAUAAUUGGAGGAGAUGAUCUUUCAAAGCUGACUGGCAAGAAUGUUCUAAUUGUGGAGGAUAUUGUUGGAACUGGAAGGACCAUGAAGGUUCUGCUUAACAAUAUAGAAAAAUACAAACCAAAAAUGAUUAAAGUGGCCAGUUUGUUGGUGAAAAGAACAUCUCGGCCUGAUGGGUACAGACCAGAUUGUAUGUGGCUAAAUACGAAAAGAAUAGAUCCAUCUAGAAGAGAUCUACCAGUAUUUGCUACUGAAGAAGUCUCUGGUCAGCUGAGCUGGGGAGGAGGGUAGAAGGAGAGUAGGCAGAUUACGGAUUUGAAAUUCCAGAUCUAUUUGUGGUAGGUUAUGCCUUAGACUACAAUGAGCACUUCAGAGAUUUAAACCACAUAUGUGUUAUCAAUGAUCAUGGCAAAACAAAAUACAGAGUCUGAAGCAGUAACAUCCACACCUGAAUAUUUCUGUGAAGCAGAAAUUUGACUACACUCCCUCAAGCAUCUCCCAGAAAAGCAAUUUAACUGGCUUGUAUGUCUUUCAACUCAGUAUAAUAAGGGCUUUACUCUAGAGAUGCUGAUGAAUAUUUACAGAAGUGAGAGGUCUUAUCUAAAAUGUGAAGCAUAGGACUUUUACAGUUACUACCUUUAUUAAGUAUUAAAAUUAUCACCUAAGAUGCCUUUUGACUAAUAACUUGUCUGCCUCAGCUCUCAUUGUGAACACAUCUUUUCUUUGCUCAGUUCUUCAUUCCACCCAUUGCAAUUCAUGUACCUCACUGUGUUGCACAAGAUAGUUCAAAAGUGCCAUUCUGUGCAUGAGAAUUAUUGUACAAGAUUUUAUUGACUUCAUCAUGCGAAAUUGAAAGCAUUAUUUUGACUUAAUUCCACAAUUCAAAAGUUUCAGUGGAAGUUCUGUGUUGUUUUGCAGUUCAUUACCCACUCUUCAAAACAAAAUUUUAGCUCUCAGAAUGUGCUGAAUUAGAGUGCAGGUCCAGAAGAACCUUUGAAAGACACUGUUGAUCCAAAAUUGGAAUAUAUCAUGGUUCUGGUAUGUCAUGUAGCCAUAGAUCUGACCUGUUUAAUGUGCUGAAUUUUAAUCAAGACAAACCAAUGCCAGGCAGGUUUGAAUUUCUGCAUGGUAUCCCUUUCUUCUCUAGGACACAAACAAAUAUAAACAUUAACUGUGUUCUCCUGAGCUGAUAUUCUUAACUAAACCUCAUUAAGCACAAAAGUUUAAUGUUAGUCAGACAAUUUUUCAGUUAUUGAUUUUUGCAACAUGUCUAAGUAGAGACUUUUUGUAACCAUCUGUCAUCUUCAAGAAUACACGUCUGACAAUGCAGAAGAAGUCUUGUCUAGGAAAAAAAGAAAAAAUAUAUAGGGCAACACAGAAAACCAGUUAAUGCAUGAGUGUUGUAGACUCUAGACUCCUUCCUUUACAGAUGUUUGAAGAUGUUUGUGAAUUUUAUGUACCAUAUUAACUGUGAAAAGUUUAAUUCUGUAUUAAAUAUAAGUGUUCUUAACAACUUCCCAUGGGAAACCAAUGCAAAGUAAGUAGCUGCGUAUCAGUGGCUUUGCUCUGAACUGUGAGAGGCAGAUUGUUACUAGCUGCAGAUUCCUAUAAACUAAUAAAAAAAACAUUAGGAAUACUUAU